rnacentral:tRNA from 1 species
GGGGAUUUAGCUCAGUGGUAGAGCGCUUCCUUAGGAAGCGCAAGGCCCUGGGUUCCAUCCCCAGCUCCG